CGGGGGGUGGGGGUGGUCCUUCAGCCCAGAUUGUGAGAGGGUUCAGGCCAGGCCGAGGGAUCCCACCGAUACACG
rnacentral:pre_miRNA from 1 species